GAUGAACGCUGGCGGCGUGCCUAAUACAUGCCAGUCGAGCGAACAGACGAGGAGCUUGCUCCUCUGACGUUAGCGGCGGACGGGUGAGUAACACGUGGAUAACCUACCUAUAAGACUGGGAUAACUUCGGGAAACCGGAGCUAAUACCGGAUAAUAUAUUGAACCGCAUGGUUCAAUAGUGAAAGACGGUUUUGCUGUCACUUAUAGAUGGAUCCGCGCCGCAUUAGCUAGUUGGUAAGGUAACGGCUUACCAAGGCAACGAUGCGUAGCCGACCUGAGAGGGUGAUCGGCCACACUGGAACGUAGACACGGUCCAGACUCCUACGGGAGGCAGCAGUAGGGAAUCUUCCGCAAUGGGCGAAAGCUUGACGGAGCAACGCCGCGUGAGUGAUGAAGGUCUUCGGAUCGUAAAACUCUGUUAUUAGGGAAGAACAAAUGUGUAAGUAACUAUGCACGUCUUGACGGUACCUAAUCAGAAAGCCACGGCUAACUACGUG
rnacentral:rRNA from 1 species